rnacentral:rRNA from 1 species
CACGUAUUUAGCCGUUCCUUUCUGGCAAGAUACCGUCACACAUUGAACAGUUACUCUCAAUGUCAUUCUUCUCUUACAACAGUGUUUUACGAGCCGAAACCCUUCAUCACACACGCGGCGUUGCUCCAUCAGGCUUUCGCCCAUUGUGGAAGAUUCCCUACUGCUGCCUCCCGUAGGAGUAUGGGCCGUGUCUCAGUCCCAUUGUGGCCGAUCAGUCUCUCAACUCGGCUAUGCAUCAUCGUCUUGGUGAGCCAUUACCCUCACCGAACUAACUAAUGUCACCGCGGGACCAUCUCGUUAGUGAUAGCAGAACCAUCUUUUAAGUAGCAACCGAUGCGGUUGCUAUUGUUAUACGGUAUUAGCAUCUGUUUCCAAAUGUUAUCCCCUGCUAAGAGUAGGUUUCCCACGUGUUACUCACCCGUUCGCCACUCUUUGCAAUGUCCAUCGUCAUAUCUGAGCAAGCUCUUCAAAUCAGUUGAACCA